AGGCGCCGAAAUUCAAAACGAUCAACAGCAUAGACCCUGGGAACCCUCCUCCUGGACCUGGACCCGGAUCAAAAGAGUCACUGAAGUCCAGUAACAAGACAAAAAUCAGGAUGCCUGUGAAGCAGAGGAUGACCUUGGCAUUUCUGAUGUCUGACCAAGUUCUAUGUACCUCAUAGAAGCUUUGGUGGUUCAUAGAGCCUGCUUCAGCUUCAUUCAUAGACUUCUGGGCAAGCAUGGUGGCAGUCUAGAUGUGGGACAAUUCCUCUCCCCAGCACCCACCAACACAGAGUACCUCAAAAGACCUUAAAAACCAUUUUCAGAAGAACAGAGGAACUCUAUAGUAAGCUGCAGAAUUGAAGAUGCUAAUCAGUAAUUCUGAGAUGAUACAUGAGUUUCUGAUGUCAUGUGUUCCUAGUUAUCCAUUAGGAGAUAUCUUCUGAUGUAACUUAUUUAAGAAUCUUAACAAGGGAAGAGACCAACCUGGCCUGCCAGAAGGUAUGGACCUUGAUCUUGUUUUCAUAGUUCAGAACUGAGAAGUUAAAAUGCCUAUUCAGCACUCCCAAAAAAAGUGUUUUGUGUUUUAAUAUCUUUGGCAGUGGUCUUUUAAGACACUGUAAUAGUUUGUGAGUUACUGUUUUAUGUUUUAUGUAUUAUCAAUGUGUUUUUUGUAUUUAAGAAUUUCCUCUCCUGAGAGGAAAUAAGCCACUGACCUAUAAUUUACGACUUUGUAAAUUAAGUAUUUUUCUAGAAAGAGUCCUAUUAACUUCUGUUAGGAAAUCCAAAAGUUAAGCCUAUGUCUUAAAUCAAUUUUUUUUCUCAGGGUGCUGGAUUUGGGAGAUCCAGAGAAUUAAAAACCCUCAACUCAUUCUCUCCAACUUAUAGGUUAGUAUGUCCUAGAAAAAUGCCUCUUUACCUUGAAAGGAAGAAGUCUUUACACCUACACAUUUUCACAUUUUUCUUCUUUAUUCUGCUUAGUUUGGAUAUAAAAUUAUUUGUAAAAUUUUAUGAAGUAGAUGCUAGACAAUUAUGAACAAUAUUAUCUAAUAAGACAGAAAAGCAGUGAAAAGAGAGCUAAAACUAUUUCAAAGAAAUCUCAGCAAGAUAUUCAAAUAAGCAAAAUAAUUCCAACAUAAUCUAAGGAUGAGAAAGGAAGGAGAAUAAAUAAUUCACAAUUUAUGAAAUACCA
rnacentral:lncRNA from 1 species